GCAUUGGGUCUAGAGUCGUUCCGGUCCCGCGGGGCAUGCUUUGAAGAGGCCUUCGUGUCAGGAAGAGGACUGGGCCUUGGCCCUCCCCCGCCGCCUCUAGGGCCGCAGCAAAUAGCAGCGCUGUUUUUCCAGAUCCUGGUGUACCGAGCAGCAGCAAAGGCGGUCCGGCGGCAGGCAUGUUCUCCUCCCCGGACCAGGCCGCACCGCCCCUGGUUAGCACCCGCCUCAGCGUCUCCGCCAUUCGCCGCGUAGCUCUGACCAAUCGGUGGCUCGUUCCCAGCCUUAGUCCCGCCCAAGCCGUGGCCGCAUCGGUACAGUUCACUUAGUUUCUCUAUUGGUCUAGGAAUCUGUCCAUCAAAACUCGAUUCCUCAGGUGAAUGGGCAAAUGGUUAGAACCUAUGCGGAGGAAUGGGUGCAUUCGAGGGAAAUAAGACCCUUCCCUGAGGGAGGCUGCUGGGGGAACCAGCACGAAUACUAUUAUUGUCAGCUAAUCAGACAAAUAUAAGGGUUGAAAGUUGGAGGAGUAGACCAGAAUGAGUGACAUAUUAUUUAAAGGCUCCUAGCCUCAGUUUGCCCUGCUGUAAAAUGGGGCUUAUGAUAUCUCAGAGGAGUAUUGUGAUCGGCAUGUAUUUGUGUGUGGUUUUGCUGAUGUCAUCCAAUGACAACUGAGAGUUUUGGAGAGGGGGAUGAGCUGUGUGCUUGUCUUUCUGUGCACCUGAGUAUGGGCCGGAGUGUGUGUCUGGGGACACAGGCUCGUGGACAAAACAUCAACGGCCAUCCCCGAAAGUCUGUGAGAUGAAGCCUCUCAACUUACUUCCUCACUGGCUAAGGGGUUCUGUGGGGCCGCCUUUGUGGUACGGGGGGAAGGCAGGACCGCAGGACAAAGAAGGAAGCAGGAGAGAUAAAGAGACAGGAGCUGGAAGACUGAAGGAGAGAUACAGCAGGGACAUUGUCUUGUUCACUUCUGUUCUCCAGUACCGAGAAUAGCACCUAGCACAUUUGUAGGUUCUCAAAUACGUGCUCGUUAAGACAAUGAAGGAAGGGAGGUGGGAUUGAUGAGAAACAGGGAGAAAGGGAGGAACAAAGUGAAUGAUCGUGAUCCCUGGCUGGAUCUUCUCACCCAGACUUCGCCCCAGAGCUGCCACUCACGCCUGUGUUGCCCUGGCAACCUUGUCUCCUGGUAACUCCAAAGUGGUGCCGUUGCCUGGAGACCCAGGGGCAGGGAGAAAGUGAGAUUUCCUGGGCUUUCUCUCUCCCUCUGGGACCAGAAAACAGACACACACCAUGGCAUCUCUGAAUAUAUUCUACUUUCAGAAUCCCCAUCAUCCACAUGCUCCAACCUUGCCCUAUCCUGACACAAAGCAUCCCAUACAAACUCUGUCCCACAUUCAUCCCCCACACCCUUUCUCUUGCAAAACACGCAACUAUGACAUUGCCACUACACACACAGACACACACAGUGAAGCACACCGAUACACUGCGCUGUCAAACACGCCACCUCAGCCCCCAUCCCCCAGCAGAUAUACAACGCAUGAUUCACCUCACAUUUCAACACUCCAAAUGCACAUACAGGCCAGGUGUGGUGGCUUAUGUCUGUAGUCCCAGUGCUUUGGGAGGCCAAGGCAAGAGGAUUGCCUGAGGCCAAGAGUUCAAGACCAGCCUGGGCAAUGUAGGGAGACCCCCAUCUCUACAAAAUACUUCAAAAUUAGCCAGGUGUUGGCCGGGCGCGGUGGCUCACGCCUGUAAUCCCAGCACUUUGGGAGGCCGAGGUGGGCAGAUCACAAGGUCAGGAGAUCAAGACCAUCCUGGCUAACACGGUGAAACCCAGCCUCUACUAAAAAUAGAAAAAAAAAUUAGCCAGGCAUGGUGGCAGGCGCCUGUAGUCUCAGCUGCUUGGGAGGCUGAGGCAGAAGAAUGGCGUGAACCCGGGAGAUGGAGCUUGCAGUGAGCCGAGAUCGCGCCACUGCACUCCAGCCUGGGCGACAGAGCGAGACUCUGUCUCAAAAAAAAAAAAAAAAAUUUAGCCAGGUGUGGUGGCGUGCACCUGUAGUCCCAGCUCCUUGGGAGUCUGAGGCAGGAGGAUUGCUUGAGCCCAAGGAAGUCAAAGCUGCAGUGAGCAGUGAUUGUGCCACUGCACUCCAGCCUGGGCAACAUAGCGAGACCCUAUCUCAACAAAAACAAACAAAAAUGCACAAAUACUCAGUAGUGACACCCACAUCACAGAGUCCAGCACAGUUACAUACAUGGGAGCAUGCUGAAUACAGCCUCACCACAAGUCCUUUGCACUUGAUGUUCUUGUGUGUGCAGCAGUCAGCUUCCAGAUAUCCUUCUGGCUUUUUUUUUUUUUUUUUUUUUUGAGAUGGAGUUUUGCUCUUGUUGCCCAGGCUGGAGUGCAAUGGUGCAAUCUUGGCUCAUCACAACCUCCGUCUCCCAGGUUCAAGUGAUUUUCCUGCCUCAGCCUCCCAAGUAGCUGGGAUUACAGGCAUGUACCACCACGCCCGGCUGAUUUUGUAUUUUUGGUACAGACGGGGUUUCUCCGUGUUGGUCAGACUGGUCUCAAACUUCUGACCUCAGGUGAUCUGCCCGCCUUGGCCUCCCAAAGUGCUGGGAUUACAGGUGUGAGCCACCGAGUCCAGCCGACUUUUUUUUCCCUCCACUCUUUUUAGGUCUUUGGUCAAAAUAUCAUCUACUCAGAGAGGCUUCCCCUGACUGCCUGCCCAAAAUUGCACACAUUUCACUCUUUAACUGAUUAUCUGUUUUUGUUGUUAUUGUUGUUGUGUUGUUUUGUUUUUUC
rnacentral:lncRNA from 1 species